rnacentral:lncRNA from 1 species
CCAUAGAGACUGCGUUAGCGAUUAGCAUAUUCAUCAAAGUAAAUAAUUCGAACAAACUUCGGUUCAUUACAAGUGGUUUCCACAAGAAGUAAUGUUUUUAAGUAAUUGUAACGGUAGAAAAGUGCCGUUAGGUACUGUAUAUUGUGGAAGUGUUUAAAUAAGGAUUUGGAUUGUCGUAGUUGUUGUGCUUCAAACAUAUGUAACGGUAGAAAAGUGCCGUUAGUUACAAAGAGACAACUGCGGGAGAAACUCGCAAAGAGAAUCUAUCGCUGAAGAAAAUCUUCAUUUCCAAUCUGAGCAGAGACUAGAUAUGUUAAUGACAUGUGGUUCAAUUAAGUACUCACUCUCUUAAACUUUAAAUCUUGAAAGAAAUUAUUCGUUUGUGUUUGUGUGUGUGAACUUGAUUUUGUGUGGUGAAUGUAAACUCAGCUGUCAUUACAAGCAGCAGGAGAGCACCUUGUUAACCUCGUGGUAUACUGCAUGCUCAAAUCAUCAUAGCAUUGUUUAUUUAGGCUGCUCACAUAGCAUUUAUCUUUUUAUUAACAGGCCAAAGAAAAGGACUCACUCUGAAGACUUUUCCAAACAACACUUUGAACAGGUUUCCCCAUCUCCUCCCAUACCAUGGGCCAGAGGAGCACGACCACCUGGGUGAGG